rnacentral:rRNA from 1 species
GAUGAACGCUAGCUACAGGCUUAACACAUGCAAGUCGAGGGGCAGCAUGAUCGAAGCUUGCUUUGAUUGAUGGCGACCGGCGCACGGGUGAGUAACACGUAUCCAACCUGGCUCAGACUCGGGGAUAGCCUUUCGAAAGAAAGAUUAAUACCCGAUGGCAUGAAGCUCCCGCAUGAGGGCUUCAUUAAAGAUUCAUCGGUCUGAGAUGGGGAUGCGUUCCAUUAGGCAGUUGGCGGGGUAACGGCCCACCAAACCAUCGAUGGAUAGGGGUUCUGAGAGGAAGGUCCCCCACAUUGGAACUGAGACACGGUCCAAACUCCUACGGGAGGCAGCAGUGAGGAAUAUUGGUCAAUGGACGCAAGUCUGAACCAGCCAAGUAGCGUGAAGGAUGACUGCCCUAUGGGUUGUAAACUUCUUUUGUCAGGGAAUAAAGCGAGUCACGUGUGAUUCAUUGCAUGUACCUGACGAAUAAGGAUCGGCUAACUCCGUGCCAGCAGCCGCGGUAAUACGGAGGAUCCGAGCGUUAUCCGGAUUUAUUGGGUUUAAAGGGAGCGUAGGCGGAUGCUUAAGUCAGCUGUGAAAGUUUGCGGCUCAACCGUAAAAUUGCAGUUGAUACUGGGUGUCUUGAGUGCAUCAGAGGUAGGCGGAAUUCGUGGUGUAGCGGUGAAAUGCUUAGAUAUCACGAAGAACUCCGAUUGCGAAGGCAGCUUACCAGACUGUAACUGACGCUGAUGCUCGAAAGUGUGGGUAUCAAACAGG